UUAAUGAUUAUAUUAUAUUAAUUUUUUGUUUUUUUAUUUUUUAAUAAAAGUAAUUUUAUUAUUGAUUUGUUUUAGUAUAUUUUAUAAAAUUAAUUAAUUAAAUUAUAGUUUAUUAGUAAUGUAAUUGAUUUAUGAAAUAAUUUAUAAAUUUAAUUAAAGUAAAUUUAAUUUAUUGUACCUUUUGUAUCAGGGUUUAUUAAAAUUUUAUUAUUUAUUUAAUUAUCUCGAUUUGGGUUGAUUUAUAAUUCACUUAUUUUUAAUGUUUUAUAAUUAUUUUAAAGUGAAUUAUAGAAAUGAAAUGUUAAUCGUUUCCUAAGAUAUCUAGUUUCUUAAGAAAAAAUUAAAUUUUUUAUAGUUAAUAGUUAAUAUUUAAUUAUUUAAGUAUUAAUAUUAACUAAUUUAUUUUUUAGGGGAUAAGCUCUAAAAAUAAUAAUCUAUAAUUGUUAACUAAAAAUUUUAAUAGUAGGCUUUUAACCAGCCAUUUUUGUGAUUACGUUUUAGUUCAUUAUUUAAAAUUUUGAUUUUAUAAUUAUUUUAGAUUUAUUAUUAAGAUGAAAAAUUUAAUUUUAAAAUUUUUGUAAUAAUAAUAUAAUUAGUAUAAUUUUUAUUUUUCAAUAAAUUUUGUUAAAAUUUAUUAUAAGGAACUAGGCAAAUUUAAUUUUCGCCUGUUUAUCAAAAACAUGUCCUCUUGAUAAAUAUUUUGAGGUCUGGUCUGCUCACUGAAUAAUUUUAAAUAGCCGCGGUAUUUUGACCGUGCAAAGGUAGCAUAAUCAUUAGUCUUUUAAUUGAAGACUGGAAUGAAUGGCUUGACGAGAAAUUAACUGUCUCUUAAUAAUUAUUAUAAUUUAACUUUUAAGUUAAAAGGCUUAAAUUUUUUUUUAGGACGAGAAGACCCUAUAGAGCUUAACAUAAAUAUUAUAUUUGGUUUUUAGUUAAUUUUUCCAUAUUUAAUAAUAAUGUUUUGUUGGGGUGACAUGAAAGAUAGUUAAACCUUUCAUUAUUAAAUCAUUGAUUAAUGUUUAUUUUGAUCCAUAAUUUAUGAUCAUAAGAUAAAGUUACCUUAGGGAUAACAGCGUAAUUGUUUUUGAGAGCUCAUAUCAACAAAACAGAUUGCGACCUCGAUGUUGGAUUAAGAUUAAUUUUGGGUGCAGUAGCCCAAUAAUUAGGUCUGUUCGACCUUUAAAUUCUUACAUGAUCUGAGUUCAAACCGGCGUGAGCCAGGUUGGUUUCUAUCCAAAAUUAUAUAUUUAUUUAUAUUAGUACGAAAGGACCAUAUAGAUAAAAGAUUUUUUAAAUUCGAUUAACAUUAAUAUAUU
rnacentral:rRNA from 1 species